UUCCUCUCUGUAAAACUGCGUCUUGGUGGGGCGGUUGGGAAGACUCAGUGAGAGAAAGACUCUUAGCACAAUGGCAGGUACUGUGGGUUCUCUAUAAAUGGAAGUUUUUGCUAGUGUGAUGGCAGAUAUUAUUCUAGGUGAGUCAGCAAAUCCACAUUGUCAGGCAGAUUUACGCAAGGUAAUGUAAACAAGUGUCUUUUUUUUUUCUCAACAGCACCUCACAUGCAUUUGAGAGAGAGCCAUCUGUGACGGAGGGGGGCCUAGCACAGCAAACGUGGGUUCCCCCCGGGGCUCUUGCAGCCGCUCUGUGGCUCCAAGUCAGGAGACUCACACAACAGGAGCCCGGACCAGAGGCUUCCUGGGACCCACUGCAGGGCAAGUGAGGAGAAAAGCAGAAAUGCAGACUGUUUGGCUCUGAGCUCUUUGAUUACAAUCUCCGGCGUACACAUGUCCUGUUAUUAUCUAACAUAUCAUUUCCAACCCCAGCAACUUCUCCGAGUCAAAGAUAAACCUCUGAAUCUGUGUCUCCAUCAGACUGGAAAAUAGCGUACUGGGAUGGAGGAAACGCUGGAGAACAUCAGGUCCAACCCCUCACGGUGGAAAUGGGGAAACCGAGGCCAAGAGAGGCGAGGCUUGCACGCAUAACACUGUGAUUGCUGCAGUCAACACUAGAAAAGCCUGCAGCCUAGGCUGCCACCAGAAAAUCGUUUAAAAUAAUAAUGAUGACAGUGAUGAUGAUGACAAAUACUUAUAUUGGAGGGCCAACCAAAUUCCUAGUGCUUUGCUUUCCUUAUGGACACGUGACUUCCACAGCUGGUCAGGAUCUAUCUUGGCCUGACCUUUCAGUCCGGGUUAAGCCUACCUUGCAUGGACGCUUAGAAGUCCUUUCUGCCUUGGUGUCUUACUCUUAUUCCUUUCUACACUCUUUGUACUCCUCUCCCCACCGGGUCUCAGCACCAGUGAAGCCUGUCUGCCCUGGUCUCCGCCUUCAAAGUGAAUGUCUUCUUGUUCUUGCUGACACGGGUCUCCGCUCACGGAAGAGUUCUGAUGCGUCUUUUUGCCAGAAGAUCACCUCCUCCCGGAGAGUGAGGAAUUGGGCCACAACCAGGCCAUGCAGUAGACGAUUUGGGGGUGCCUGGUCCUCUCUUCCGAGAAGGCCUCUCUGCACCCACAGGGACCCAUGUUUUCAUUAUAACCCCCACCCACCCCAAACACAGUUGGCAGCAUGAGGAGAAGUCACUGGAACCAAGCUGGACGGACUAUCAGAAUUUGAAAUUAGAGUUUGGGACAUAACAAUUUUGAAUAAUUAACCAGGCCUGUGAGGACUGGUCAUCUCUGCAGGCUAAGGCCACCAUUCUGAAGUAGGCAUCAUCCGCAAAGAAACCCAGUGCGACCUUCGCUAAAUGUCUAGCUAGGUAGGUGUGGAGAAACUCAGAGCAGAGAAGGCUGGGCCGGCCAGGGGAGACUUGUGGAUCCGUGGGGCUUUUUGGGUGCAGACCUCUCCAGAAGCUAGCUUCAGAAAGGAUACGUGUUUAUUGAGCAUCGAAUGCCUUAUAGCAAGAUCCCAGAAGCAGAGCACAAGGCAGGAAUUUUGUGCCGAGGAUUAACUGAGUGCUCUCGGGAGAGCCUGGAGUACCCCCAGAACCCUAGGGCACAGAUGCAGCCGGGCCUCAGGGUCAGACCGGAAGCAGGACCUGAGUACUAAAGGAACCCCAGAAGGUGCCGGGACUCUCACCCCAGCUGUCUCUCUGUCUCACAUCAGACAAGCACUUCUGCUUUGAUCGGCAGGGAGCUGAAAUCUUUGUGUGUGACCUACAGGCUAACUUGGGCCAGAGGCCUACCUGUUAUCCAAUGGACUCUAGCCGGAGGGGCAGGGUCACACUGCACGGACCUGGCUGCUCGCACCGGAACUUACGGAUAGAGAGAAAAUGGGAGGGGACACCGGGCAAAGAAGACAAGCCUCGCUGUGCAGAAGGGGCAGUUGGCCUUGGAAGGAAGGAAAGCAGAAGGACGGAGGUGAAGAAUGGGAUGGCACCUUCUGCUAAGGACACAGAACAAGCACAGGUGUGCGGGUUGGAGGAAGACGGGCCUGGAAGGAGGGAAGGAGCGCGUUGUUGGCCCUGGCCUGGGCCCCUUCAGAGGUGCGCUAGAACCAGCUUGCAGAAGCGGCUAUUAAAUUUCCAGGAGUUUUUCUUUCCUUCCUUCUUUUUUUUUUUAAUUGUUGUUCAAGUACAGUUGUCUCCAUUCUCCCACCACCACUUUCCCCUGCCUCACCCAACCCCACCUCCCAUCCUCAAUCCUACCCCCCUUUGACUUUGUCCAUGGGUCUUUUAUACAUGUUCCUUUCAGGGAUUUUGACAGCUAGUUGUUAAACACAGCCUUCAACAAAAAUUAAUUUACAUGAACUUG